UUUAAAAUUCUUUCCUUUUCCUCAGGAGACUGGUGAGGCCCCGCCUUCCCCGCCUCUAGUGACUGCAUGUCCCUGGAUUAGGAUAACAAGAACCCGAAGAUUCAGAAUUGGAAUUGGAAGUGAAAUUUGAAAAUUUGGGGGUUGAAUUUGUGCAAUUUGUCCUGGUGGGAAGAUUCACAAUUUGGAUUAUAGUUUUAACUGGCACAUGGAUUAUAAAAUCAAACACAAGAAGCAAGAUGAAGAAAACAGCAGCAUAUUCAUUGUCAUCAUGAUAUGUUGGGUUUUUUGGGAGGGGGAUUCCUUUUUGGGUACCUCAACCCCUAUUUGGAUUAGGGUAACAAGAACCCGAAGAUUCAGAAUUGGAAUUGGAAUUUGAAAAUUUGGGGGUUGAAUUUGUGAAAUUUGGGCCUGUUGGAGGAGAAAGAAGAAAGAAGCAAGGGCUUCACCCGCCUGGAUCCUGCAAGGAAACCCCGGCUAAGUGUUUUAUGGCUGGAUUAAAUGUGCGGACGGUUCUAGCCAGACCACAGGAUCUGCAGCAAAGGCGCUUGGUGGCUCCCGUGGCACUUUGCAGCCUGGCGCUUGGUGGCUCUCGCGAUGCAAAGUGCCCGUCUCCACAAGAAAGAAGCGAGGGCUUCUCCCGCCUGGCUCUUGCAAGGAAACCCCCGGCUUAGUAUUUUAUGGCUGGCUGAAAUGCGCGGACAUUUCCAGCCACCCACAGGGCAAACGGCUGCCCAGCUGCCGCCCGAGAGCAGCUCCCGGUGCCAUUCUUGGCAUGUUUUUCUCCAGGAGACUGGUGAGGCCCCGCCUCCCCCACCUCUAGUGACUGCACGUCCCUGGAUUAGGGUAACAAGAACCCGAAGAUUCAGAAUUGGAAUUGGAAUUUAAACAUUUGGCGGUUGAAUUUGUGAAAUUUGGGCCUGUUGGAGGAGAAAGAAGAAAGAAGCAAGGGCUUCACCCGCCUGGAUCCUGCAAGGAAACCCCCAGCUAAGUGUUUUAUGGCUGGGUGAAAUGUGAGGAUGUUUCCAGCCAGACCACAGGGUCUGCAGCAAAGGCGCUUGGUGGCUCUAUUGGCACUUUGCAGCCUGGCGCUUGGUGGCUCUCGCGAUGCAAAGUGCCCGUCUCCACAAGAAAGAAGCGAGGGCUUCUCCCGCCUGGCUCUUGCAAGGAAACCCCGGCUAAGUAUUUUAUGGCUGGCUGAAAUGGGCGGAAGUUUCCAGCCAGACCACAGGAUCUGCAGCAAAGGCGCUUGGUGGCUCCCUUGGCACUUUGCAGCCUGGCGCUUGGUGGCUCCCGCGAUGCAAAGUGCCCGUCUCCACAAGAAAGGAGCGAGGGCUUCUCCCGCCUGGCUCUUGCAAUUAAACCCCCGGCUAAGUAUUUUAUGGCUGGCUGAAAUGCGCGGACAUUUCCAGCCACCCACAGGGCAAACGGCUGCCCAGCUGCCGCUCGAGAGCAGCCCCCGAUGCCAUUCUUGGCAUGUUUUUCUCCAGGAGACUGGUGAGGCCCCGCCUUCCCCGCCUCUAGUGAUUGCAUGUCCCUGGAUUAGGAUAACAAGAACCCGAAGAUUCAGAAUUGGAAUUGGAAGUGAAAUUUUAAAAUUUGGGGGUUGAAUUUGUGCAAUUUGUCCUGGUGGGAAGAUUCACAAUUUGGAUUAUAGUUUUAACUGGCACAUGGAUUAUAAAAUCAAACACAAGAAGCAAAAUGAAGAAAACAGCAGCAUAUUCAUUGUCAUCAUGAUAUGUUGGGUUUUUUGGGAGGGGGAUUCCUUUUUGGGUACCUCAACCCCUAUUUGGAUUAGGGUAACAAGAACCCGAAGAUUCAGAAUUGGAAUUGGAAUUGAGAAAAUUUGGGGGUUGAAUUUGUGAAAUUUGGGCCUGUUGGAGGAGAAAGAAGAAAGAAGCAAGGGCUUCACCCGCCUGGAUCCUGCAAGGAAACCCCGGCUAAGUGUUUUAUGGCUGGAUUAAAUGUGCGGACGGUUCUAGCCAGACCACAGGAUCUGCAGCAAAGGCGCUUGGUGGCUCCCGUGGCACUUUGCAGCCUGGCGCUUGGUGGCUCUCGCGAUGCAAAGUGCCCAUCUCCACAAGAAAGAAGCGAGGGCUUCUCCCGCCUGGCUCUUGCAAGGAAACCCCGGCUAAGUAUUUUAUGGCUGGCUGAAAUGGGCGGACGUUUCCAGCCAGACCACAGGAUCUGCAGCAAAGGCGCUUGGUGGCUCCCGUGGCACUUUGCAGCCUGGCGCUUGGUGGCUCCCGCGAUGCAAAGUG